rfam:Dipodomys ordii contig_43365, whole genome shotgun sequence.
GGUAAGGUGGCUCAGUAGUAAAGCGCUUGCCUUGCAUGCCUGAGGCCCUGGGUUCAAUUCCCCAGCACCA